UACGGAGGAUGCAAGCGUUAUCCGGAAUUAUUGGGCGUAAAGCGUCCGUAGGUGGUUGUUCAAGUCUGCUGUUAAAGCGUGCGGCUUAACCGCAUACCAGCAGUGGAAACUGGGCGACCAGAGUGCGGUAGGGGUCAGGGGAAUUCCCAGUGUAGCGGUGAAAUGCGUAGAUAUUGGGAAGAACACCGGUGGCGAAAGCGCCUGACUGGACCUGCACUGACACUGAGGGACGAAAGCUAGGGGAGCGAAAGGG
rnacentral:rRNA from 1 species